rnacentral:rRNA from 1 species
GACGAACGCUGGCGGCGUGCUUAACACAUGCAAGUCGAACGGAAAGGCCCUGCUUUUGUGGGGUGCUCGAGUGGCGAACGGGUGAGUAACACGUGAGUAACCUGCCCUUGACUUUGGGAUAACUUCAGGAAACUGGGGCUAAUACCGGAUAGGAGCUCCUGCUGCAUGGUGGGGGUUGGAAAGUUUCGGCGGUUGGGGAUGGACUCGCGGCUUAUCAGCUUGUUGGUGGGGUAGUGGCUUACCAAGGCUUUGACGGGUAGCCGGCCUGAGAGGGUGACCGGCCACAUUGGGACUGAGAUACGGCCCAGACUCCUACGGGAGGCAGCAGUGGGGAAUAUUGCACAAUGGGCGGAAGCAUGAUGCAGCAACGCCGCGUGCGGGAUGACGGCCUUCGGGUUGUAAACCGCUUUCGCCUGUGACGAAGCGUGAGUGACGGUAAUGGUAAAGAAGCACCGGCUAACUACGUG